GACGAACGCUGGCGGCGUGCUUAACACAUGCAAGUCGAACGGAAAGGCCCCUUUGGGGGUACUCGAGGGGCGGACGGGUGAGUAACACGUGAGUAACCUGCCCUUGACUUCGGGAUAACUUCAGGAAACUGGGGCUAAUACCGGAUAGGAAUCCUUGCUGCAUGGUGGGGGUUGGAAAGCUUCGGUGGUUUUGGGUGGACUCGCGGCUUAACGGCUUGUUGGUGGGGUAGUGGCUUACCAAGGCUUUGACGGGUAGCCGGCCUGAGGGGGCGACCGGCCACCUUGGGACUGAGAUACGGCCCAGACUCCUACGGGAGGCAGCAGUGGGGAAUAUUGCACAAUGGGCGGAAGCCUGAUGCAGCAACGCCGCGUGCGGGAUGACGGCCUUCGGGUUGUAAACCGCUUUCAGCAGGGGCGAAGCUUGUGGUGACGGUACCUGCAGAAGAAGCACCGGCUAACUACGUG
rnacentral:rRNA from 1 species